rnacentral:tRNA from 1 species
GGCCCCAUCGUCUAGCGGUCUAGGACACUUGGUUCUCAUCCAAGAAAUCGUGGGUCCAAAUCCCACUGGGGUCA